GGGCCCGUAGUCGAAUGGUCAAGACGCCAGUCUCACACACUGGAGAUCCGGAGUCCGAUUCUCCGCGGGCCCA
rnacentral:tRNA from 1 species